AAGAGCCCCUGCCAUACCUUGUGUACCAGCCCCUGCCCUGGCAGAUCCAGUGUGUGACACAGAGCCGCCGCACCAGCCGGGACAGCGAUAGAGGCAGGAGCUCACGUCACAACAGCAUCUACUCGAUUUCUGGAGAUAGAGGCAGCUUGACCCCCGAUGCCAGCAGUGAGGGCAAAUUCUUCAGCGAUCCCUCUGAGAAGGCAGCUCUCACCAUCCAGACCCACUUCAGGAGAUACCAGCAGCAGAAGCAGGGGAAGAAGUAGCUGCCUUGGCCGUCGUGCCCUGCACCGUCCCUCCUUUUGUGCAUCGCGUUCCCCAGCGAGAUUUGUGGCCGUGGUGACCCUGCUACCUAGCUCUUGGUGUGUGUAGAUUGUCUGCUGGUCACUGAGAUCCUUUUCCUGGUGGCUCCUUCCCUGGACAGCAUUGCCUUGAAGACCGAGGUGCAACCACGGGGCUCCUGGUGGGAGCCUGACAUCCACGUGGCAGAGCUGGCAUUUGCCAGCCUAGGUGGAAGCACAGUGCUGGGAGCUGCAAGCCUAGGAUGUGGAGAACAGGGCACAAACAGCCAAGAGCAAUUUGCAGCAGUUAAGCAUCCAGGUGGGGCUCUUUCUCAUCAGCUUCAGCCCUCCUCCGUGCCUCUGUUUUGGGCUGGAGCUGAGGCAGAGCAGUCACCUCUCCUUCCCUUGCUCUUGGACCUGAACAGUGAUGUCCCCCAGGCUGUGUGCUUCAGGCACUGAGGGAGCAGGAGGUGUGCUGCAUGCUGUGACCUGGUUUCUUCUUUUCUUGCGGGCUCCUGG